rnacentral:rRNA from 1 species
AGGGUGCAAGCGUUGUUCGGAAUUAUUGGGCGUAAAGCGCGUGUAGGCGGCUUUGCAAGUCGGGUGUGAAAGCCCUCAGCUCAACUGAGGAAGUGCGCCCGAAACUGCAAGGCUCGAGUACCGGAGAGGAUGGCGGAAUUCCCCAAGUAGAGGUGAAAUUCGUAGAUAUGGGGAGGAACACCGGUGGCGAAGGCGGCCAUCUGGACGGAUACUGACGCUGAGACGCGAAAGCGUGGGUAGCAAACAGGACUAGAUACCCUGGUAGUCCACGCUGUAAACGAUGAGAACUAGGUGUCGUGGGUGUUGACCCCCGCGGUGCCGUAGCUAACGCAUUAAGUUCUCCGCCUGGGAAGUACGGCCGCAAGGCUAAAACUCAAAGGAAUUGACGGGGGCCCGCACAAGCGGUGGAGCAUGUGGUUUAAUUCGACGCAACGCGAAGAACCUUACCUGGGCUUGACAUG